AGGCUUCUAAUCUCCUCCCAUCCCUCCUGCCUGGCUCUCAUCCAAAUGUUCCCCUCCCCCCCGACCUUCCAACCCGCCCUGGCAACUGCAGCAUAGAGGAAAGCCGGGCACCCUGCACUUGACUCCUCUUCCCAGUUUUGCAGUUGCUUUCUAGGUGUCAUGGAACUUUUCCUGAUGGUUCUGCCCGACCCAGAAGCUGGGUGAAUGGUUACAAAGUCUCUGCGGAACAAACACGGUUCAGGGCUCUGACUGUUGUGCAAAAAAUGUGGCAAUGAACACCGAAGAAGAGCAUCAAUGUGGGGUAUUUAGAGUAACUAGUCUCCAGAGCAGCACUGUGGGCCUGAAGACGUCCGGGGCUUCUGCAAUCUAGAACACGUGGAAGACUGAGAUUGCGGUGGGGGGGCGAACCUAAAGCAUCGGCCAAAAGGUGGAUGGCAGCAGUGUGUUACUGCAAUUACAUUAUAGGUUUGCCUCCAAACCGAAAUUACCCUGAUAAAAUCAGGCCAACAAAUGUUCAUGAUACCUUGGUACACUACUGUUGAAUUGCUUAUCUUUUAUAAGUUGGGGUUACCACAUGGUAAGCUUUUUCUAUCUUUUAAAAUAAUAAUAGCAGUUACUGGUUAACUAUAUGAGCUUUCACUAUAUGUUAAGCACUUGAAAAACAAUGUGUCAUUUCAUCUUUACGACAAGCCUUUCUACAGAAGUAUCUGGGGCUCUGAUUGUUAGGUUGGAAGGCAGAAUUGGUGGGACUGGGUAACUAACACGUGAGUGAUGCAGCGGCCACGGGGACAUGAAUGCCUGGGAGGCCAGUCCCGGAAUCAGACGGGAUGCCUCCCCCACCCCACCUCAAGCCUGCAGAUCACUUCUUUUGCUCUGCUCUCUCACAGCACUGGAGUGUUUGGUGGGCAUGGGACAGGGGAGCCUCAGGAAACCGGCAGUGGGCGCUGCCCUGCUGCAGGAGCCUGGGGCUCGCCCCGCACUGAGAGGCUCAGCUGGCUGGGAGGGCAGCUCCCCGCCACCGCCAGGGUGCUCUGGUAUCCUCCCCGGAAUUAGCUCCUGGUCACCCAUUAGUGCACUGGUUCGUUGGCCGGCCUGUUCCCCUCUGUGUGAUUGAUUAGUCACUGCAGUGACCUUGGUUCUGGGCGCUAAGGGAAGGGCAGGUACCAGGUAGACUGCAGUUCACUGCCUUGGGGGCACAAGACUGACGUGCAGUAGAGACGGUGGGUGGCCGAUCCAAGGGCGGGCACCGAUGGGUAGGGACGUGAGUCCUGGGUGAGGCCUCGGCAUCCUUUCACCACAGGCCAGAGUGGCCCCGCUUGGGGAAGGAGGGCUCACCAGGAGCCCUCAGGCAGCUUCCUCAGUUAGGGUCCUAACCUGCCCAGCGCCCCUUAUUCCAUGAAGCACCUGACAAGCCCCUUACCCCCCCAGGCCUCCAAUGGGGGCAGCGCCCUCACACCCUUGGUCAGGAAGGCUGUGGCCCUCCCUUCAGUGAUGGGCCGGCCUGGGUGCCUCAGGAGCAGGGGCCGUGUCCUUGGGCCUGUGUCUCCCGGUAUUGAACUCAAGAGUGCUCAGGAGGUGUCUGCUGAGCGAGCAGAAUCGUCAUCACCACCGGGGAUGUGAAACAUCUAGCUAAGCUAAAGUGACCCUUUUCUCCAAAACAAAAGCUCAUCUUUAACAUCUUAAUAGCACCGUGGUCCCUGAAAAGUCAUGAGUCUGUUUUCCGUCUGUUCUGCCAUCACCCCUGUGGAGCCUUAGAUUUCUCCAAGAAGAGCCAGCAUUAUUUGGGAUGUGGACUUUUGCCUUUGAGCGAGCACUUUUCCCUUGAGGCUCCUGCUAGACACAGAACAAACGAAAACGAAGACAGCGGGGCCCAGCGAAGCUGGCCUCCGUGGUGCGGGUUGGGUGAUGCACACGAGUUCUCAGGCGCUGCCCAGGAGACCUGGAGCAGGCCUGGCAUCGCCUUCACGGCCGCUCAGAAGGAGAGUGCACGGGCGGUUUUGUAAGUGGAGCGGAGAACGCAUAAACAGUCCAUUUUAAAAAGCAAGACUCACCUCCAAAAAAUGGGAAAGCUCGUUGUUGAUGAGCUCCUUGAGUUCGGACUUCUUCAGCUUGUGCUUGUCGCCCUCCCUUCCGGAAUACUGGUGGAAAACAUCAAUGAGGGCCACCACGGCCUUCUCCAGCUCAGACAUCCUGGGGGUCCACAGAGGGGAGAGGCCUUCUCAUGCUUUUUGCCUUGUGUUACACAGAACAGUUAACAUGUUACCUGUGCAGACCUCUACCCGGAGGAGGGGCCUGGGCCAGCCUCGGGGCAUCUCCCUGGUCAGGCUUAGAGCAGGGCAUUCUGGGAACGUGCUGGGCUGUCACCGCUCUCCCAUCCACCUUUUAGAGCCGAUGCUCUUCCCCGGUCCCUUCUCUGUUCCUGUCUGCCACCUUGAUGAGUUCCCAGGCCCUCCGGCUUCUCUGGUUGGGUUUGGCUAAUGGGAAACUUCAGCAAAAAUAUGGAGGCAGGGCAGGAGGGAGUGCUGGGAUUGACCCCUGCCUCCCCCUGGGGCCACCCUCUGCCCUGGCAGGGCUCCCAGUCAGUGACAGAACGGGCGAGCAGAGCGGCAGCUGCAAGCUGUUUGAUUCAACAGAAAGUGACGAGGAGCCAGAGGAGGGUACAAACAUCAGUAGUAUCUUUGUACUCUCUCAGUAAACAGCUGGAAGACGGGAGAACCCCGUUCAUACAGCAGCACGUACAUGUUACUAAGAGUAAAUUUAGUAUGAGAAGUGCAGCUCCUUCCAAAAGAUUUUAAGGAUCAUAAAACAGGAAUUUGCAUUCUUUUGAAUUAAUAUAUAAAUUUGACUCAUUUUAAAUACAAAUCUUUACUGGAAAAAUAAAUAUGGUAGAAUUGCCACAAUUGUUUUUUUGAAAAAGAAGAUCAAUGAAAAGUAUGUUGACGGACCAGAAGCAAAAAUGUAUUUUCAGGUUAUAAAUUAAGCUGGUUCCGCUGCAGGAACAGGUGUGUAGGAGGCACCACCGCCAGGUGCUGACUCAGUACCCACGGAGGUGCUGCCCCAGGCAAAUGGGGGGGGGUCUCUUCUUCACUCCCAGGUAUUCCCGUGCAGCUGUCAGGGUCAGAAACGGUCCGCUCCCCUGCACGCGCACCCGAUACCAGGGCCUGUGCCCCGAAGAAACACCUGCCACAUCCCAGGGAGUUAGGGCACAUUUUACCAAGGGCAGUUUUCAAUUGUUUCACAAAACUGAGACGCUCAGGAGAAAUUUACCAACUUUUGACCUUGAAUUCUUAUUAAAGAAUCUUAGCACUAUAAUCGUUAA